GUGCGGGAAGAAGGCCCUAGGGUUGUAAACCGCUUUCAGCAGGGAAGAAAAUGACGGUACCUGUAGAAGAAGGUGCGGCCAACUACGUGCCAGCAGCCGCGGUGACACGUAGGCACCAAGCGUUGUCCGGAUUUAUUGGGCGUAAAGAGCUCGUAGGCGGUUCAGUAAGUCGGGUGUGAAAACUCUGGGCUUAACCCAGAGACGCCACCCGAUACUGCUGUGACUAGAGUGCGGUAGGGGAGCGGGGAAUUCCCGGUGUAGCGGUGAAAUGCGCAGAUAUCAGGAGGAACACCAGUGGCGAAGGCGCCGCUCUGGGCCGUGACUGACGCUGAGGAGCGAAAGCGUGGGUAGCAAACAGGAUUAGAUACCCUGGUAGUCCACGCCGUAAACGUUGGGCACUAGGUGUGGGUCUCAACCAACGAGAUCCGCGCCGUCGCUAACGCAUUAAGUGCCCCGCCUGGGGAGUACGGUCGCAAGACUA
rnacentral:rRNA from 1 species